GGGUCCAUUUACGUACAUAUUGGAAAUGGAUGUGGAUUUGUAUUUGCGUUUCAAAUGAAAUAUAGUAAAAUUUCAACAUAAUGUCAAAUUAAAAUACCUUAUCGUUUCAAUUUCAUAUCUAUCCAUAUCUAAGAAUGUUAAACUCCAUUGUCCGUCUAAAGCAAAGUACACAACCAAAGAGGAAAUCACAAAAUCAUUUCUGGAAUGCUUUGCUCGUUUGUGAGAAUCAUUAGAACUUCCAUUUUCUCUUUCAAAACUCUAACCACAGCUAAUUAAAAGCACGAAUCAUGUACUAGAUAAAAAAUAAAGUUAAUCAAUUCAAGCACAGGAAUCUAAAAUCACACAUCUUAAAAAAAAAAAA
rnacentral:misc_RNA from 1 species